GUUUGAAAGGUCCCUGAUCCUCUGCAACCAUGAUCAAAUUGUUAAGUGUUGCCAUUGUUGCCGCAUUGUUCUUGGAAAGCCACCAGUUGUGUCCCGGUCCAUUCGUACUUCCAGGAGGUCCAGUGGUGAAGCCAG